rnacentral:rRNA from 1 species
GAUGAACGCUAGCUACAGGCUUAACACAUGCAAGUCGCGGGGCAGCAUGGGGGUUGCUUGCAAUCCCCGAUGGCGACCGGCGCACGGGUGAGUAACGCGUAUCCAACCUGCCCUUCACCACGGGAUAACCCGGCGAAAGUCGGACUAAUACCGUAUGUUGUCCAUUGACGGCAUCCGAUUUGGACGAAAGGCUUGGCGGUGAGGGAUGGGGAUGCGUCCGAUUAGCCAGACGGCGGGGUAACGGCCCACCGUGGCUACGAUCGGUAGGGGUUCUGAGAGGAAGGGCCCCCACACUGGGACUGAGACACGGUCCAGACUCCUACGGGAGGCAGUAGUGAGGAAUAUUGGUCAAUGGGCGUAAGCCUGAACCAGCCAAGUAGCGUGCAGGAUGACGGCCCUAUGGGUUGUAAACUGCUUUUAUGCGGGGAUAAAGUGGCCCACGUGUGGGCUUUUGCAGGUACCGCAUGAAUAAGGACCGGCUAAUUCCGUG